GGAACAGGAAAGUCCUGCCAGGCGCAGGGCAGCCCCCACCCCCCCCUCAACCCCCCACUGAUGGUGGCCGUGCUGGCGGGCAGGCUUGCCGGAUCUUUUGAUUUUUCUAAAGAAGCUGAAACUCGAGAUUUUCUCGUAGAAUCUCCUGGUUUUUAUAGGCGAGCAACUGAUUCAAACACCAAACUUAGAAAACAGCUGGCGAGCCAGCCGCACAGAGAGGAUCAGUGGGGGCGGCGCUGCGGGCUCCCCUCGCGGGGAGGGAGGUGACCCUCGUGAGCUCCGGCACCGGCACUGCAGCAGGAGGAGAAGGGACCGUGGGCCUGGAGGCUGCACCCAGCCGCCCUGCAGCGACGCGGGGCGUUUCCAGAGAGGGACACGCGACGCACAGCAGGCCGCCGCCCCCUGCUCUCGUCCUCCCCGUGAGUGCUGGCUCCGGGGGCUCCUCAGCCCGCGGACGGGAAGGCUGACUCAGUGUGAACCUUCUGGAUUCCUGCCCCCACCACUCCGUCCCCCGUGCCCGGAGCCCCAGCGUCCAGCGAUUCCGGCUAAUCGUUUUCAGAUGGAUCCCGUGCGUGAUCUGCGGGUUCACAGAGCUGUCUUCACGUCACUGGUCCAGUGACCGCCAGGCGUGAGUGAAGAUGCCAGAGUGAAGAUGAGCAGAAGAAGGUGCCUCUGAGAGGGCGACCAGCCUGAGGUCACACAGUCCGGCCAUGGAGACCCACUGAGCGCCCGCCGGUGCGCGCUGGGGACACAGCGCUCAGCAGAGGCAUCCUGUGUUCCAGGUGAUGACACCCGGGCCCCUCUGAGAGCACAAGGGACGGUCCCGAGGCCACCAGCUCCUCCGCAAGAGGACCGAGACGUAAAGGGGCGUCCUGACUCCUCCGCGAGCCUCCAGGCGGAAGAAGCAGCCUGGAUCCCACGGCAGGUCCCGCGGAAUCUCCAAAACGCAGGCCCGUGUUCCGUGUGUGACGAUGAGACUGAGCCGUGGAUGGAAACCUCUGGAGCCAGGACCCUGGCGGCGAAGGAUGAAAAGCUCACCCCCUCACCCCCAGUGUAGACAGGAGGAUUUAGUGGGCCAUGUAACUGGAAAGUUUUAAGGGAGCGUGACUUCAGCAAUGGCUGGAUCCAGGGCCCCAAAGACCCCAGGAGGACCCUCUUCCUCUCCCGGUCCUGCUUGCGUUCACAGGGUGACGGAAGCGCCCCAGGGACGCAGCUUAUGUCCCUCCAGCUCGGCAGGCUCCACAGAGAACGCAUCUCUGCUCCAGCCAUUUCAGUGGACGUUGCAGAGCUGACUCCCCUCCGUCCACAUCAGGCCACAGGGCCAUGCCCGAGCCAGUCACUGUGCUCAGGGGACGCUCUGCUGGCGGGCUGUCCCGGGAGCCCGCGCUGUUGGGACCUCUCCUCCUCCUCCCCCGGGCUGAAACUGGGAGCCAGGUGGCCCCCAAGGAAACAAGGAGAUGAGAAAGCCAGGAUGAGGAGGCGAGGACGCCCCUGCAGGCCCCCGGGCCCGUGGGUGUGGGAGACCAGGUGGCCUGGCACCAGAAGGUGGGCAGAGGGGUGGGCGCGGGGCGGAGGCGCGAGGGGCCUGGGCACCGGCUGCGGCCUCCUUCCCUGGCCUCCCCUGCUCCUCCCGCCGUAAACAGCCCCUCCGCAUCGCCGUGGGGCCGGAGAUAAACUGCGAGUGAAAUAGAAAACAUCGUGCGUCAUGGCGCUUCCACUCUCCGUGGUAGACGGUCAACAAAAUAAAUACGUAAAGUCUAAGCUGUACCAGUCGGGGAUGAAUCUUGGGAAGAAAAACAGAGCAGGGAGGGCGGGAGCGAGCGCAGGGUGGGCGUAACUUUAGAUAGGGAGAGCAGGCCUCCCAGGAAAGGCGCCCUCAGAGUAAACAGCAGGUAAAGAAGUGGACCAGGCAGGAAUCUGGAGGAAGGGUAUUCCGGGAGACAGGAGCAGCCUGUCCAAAGGCCCUGGGGCAGGCGUGUGCUUUGGGGCACAGCCAGGCAACUAGGGAGACCAGAGAGGACGAGAGAGGGGAGAGUGGGAGGAGCUCAGUUUGGAGAACAAUGGAGGGCAUGCGGGCAGAUGUGGAGGGCGCUGUAGCUGCAAUAAGGCUGAGUUUUACUCCGGGGCAGUGGGAUCCAUUGCAGGCGUGCGGGCAGAGGAGUGACGUGCCUGCCUUGGAUUCAGGAGGGCGCAUCUCUUCACUGCGUGGAGAACAGACUGCAGGGGCGAGAGCGGGAGCUGGCCAGAGCCUGCUUAGGGAGAAGGGAUCCUGGCGUCAGCAGUUUCUCGGGUACUGCUGACAGGGUCCACCGACGGAGCAGACACGGGGUGUGCAAGACUGAGGGGUCCACACGGCCCUGGGGGCCCCAGCUCCUGCCUCGGCCCGGCCGGGUCAGCCUGACGCUGGGACUCUGAGCCACCGCGCAGCCCGGCCCCCGGCCUUUGCGGGGUCCCCUCCCCCUCCCGGCUUGGCUGCCCAGACCGUCUGUCUAUUUCUCAGACGGACAGACCAUCCCACUGCUUCUGUUACCUCCGCAGCUCAGAUGGCGAGAAACGGGACACCCAGAAGCUUCUAGAAGUCAGCUGAAUUCGGUUUUGAGCCCUGUUCUGUGGAAACAGAGCCAUGGGGCGUCUGGGAUCUCCCCGCUCUCCUCCCACCACGUCCCAGGGAUGGGGUCCGGUUGCGGCACUCGGGGCAGCAACAGUCUGGGGCCCUUGGCAAAAGGUCCCCGAAGAAGUCCUCAGGGUGCCCCGGUCCCUCCCGCCCCUGGUCCUGGGCUGGCUUCAGCCGCACUGGCCUGCUCUCUGUUGCCCAGACACACAAAUGAGCACCUGCCUCAGGGCCUUCUCACCUGCGGCCCUUGCUCCAUCCACCCGCAUCACUUCACCUCACUCCUGCUCAGCAUCAGGGCCCCAGAGGGUCUCAUCUCUGCCCUAGUGCAGUCGAGCCCCCAGCUCUGCUCCCCCCUGCCUCCUGGAACCGGUCCUGACACUCGUCACAUCUGGAGGGAGAGGCAGGCAGCACAGUGGUGAGAGCACAGACCCCGGCGCAAUCCUGGCUCUCUCCCUGAAGAGCAGUGUGACCUUGACUGAGUCCCUGACCUCUCGCAGCCUCGUCUAUAACGUGAGGAUACGGAUGGUGGCACCUGCGGGGGUGUCGGGAGGCUACGGGGGGCCCUGUGGCAGUGCCUGGACGCAGCAUGGGACCCACGAUCCUCGUCAUGUGCGAUUACCGGUCCCCAGGGCGCCGCCCCGCCAGGCUGCAGCUCAGGGGCCGGGCCGGGCUCGCCUUCCCCCGUCGCCCCUGGUUUGCAGGUGCACCUGGGGCUGCACAGAAGGUCCAGGCCAGAGCGGAGGACGAGCAUUGCAUGUGGAUGGACGAUGUUUGAUCCCGAGCCCCGCGGCCCCCGUCCCCUCCCUGCCCCUCCCGCCGGGCUCACCUGACCCCCCGCCUCCCCAGCCUCCUCUCAGCACCGAGCAAUUAAGCCAAACUUUUGAUUUAAGACAUUUAUAAAGGCACCGAGGAUGUCCUCUGGUAUCAGCUUAUAUAUUUCUAAUCUGCCGUUAAAGUGAUUUAAAACGGGGCCGGGUGAAAAUUAAACGUCUCCAUCACCCACGUGUGGCAGCGGCGCCGACAAGGACGCGGGGCCCCUCCACCCUGCCGGGCGGGAACGCGGCUCGCGGCCUUGCUCGCCGGGCGGGCAGGGCUCCGGGCUCAGGGAGCAGCACGCGGGCCGGGGUCUGCAGGAGGAGCCGCCGUGUGCGCGGCGACAUCUGCUCGUCGUGAGCCCUGCUCAGCGGCAGGACACAGGGACCCCGUCCUCGGUGCUGGCAGAGGAGAAAGAAAAGCAGAAGCGGGUGACGAGACUGCAAAUUUGCUGAAGGAGUUUCUUCCUGCCUCCUUUCAGAAACCAGAGGAUGGAAGCUGGCCCCAUCUUCCUUCUCUGGAGGCGAUUUCCAGGGACUCGCUUUCUGGUGGGGGGACAGCUCAGGCCGUCCUUCCCCUCCUCCCCACCCCCGCCUCCCUAAAGCCUGCUCACAGCAGCAGAGUCUGAGGUCAGUGACGGACGAGCGUCCAGGGACGAAAGGCCGUGACUCGGUGCGGCUUUUCGAUCUCCCCGUGAUCUGCUCCCUCGGCCAUAAGUGCCCUGGGCCCCUCCGCCCGCUGACAGGGGCUGCCGCCAAGAAGACACCAGCCCGGGUGGACGCGGGACACCCAGAUGCAUCGGCCAGGGCAGGACCACUGACGGCCGGCCGUGGAGGACACAUCGGCGUUGGCAGGAGUGUUUGGGGGCGGCUGUGAGGGGACAGGGGUGGGUCUGCUGUCCCAUCGCCCCCUGAGAUCCCCCCACCCCAGGGACUGUCCUGAGCCCACCCAGGAAGAUGCUCCUAGGAGCCACUCUCCUCAUCCCCCUGGAAACUGCGGUCCGGAGUCCAGGUGGGAGAGAAGGGGCCUGUGGAGGUCACUUUGAGCCCCCUGGGCGGCAGGAUCGGGUACACAGGUGCAGAGCCCACAGAGGAAGGGCCGGGGUGGGGCUGCCAACAGGAAGUCAGGUACCUGUGGGCGGCAGGUGGAGCAUCGGGGGGCCCGAGGAGGAGAAGAAGCCCCUGGUGGUCACCGCUGCACCCCUGGCGUCCGCGUCCCCACGUCACCCUCUCCCCCUUCCCUGGGCGGCCCUGAGGCUGCCUCUCCUGGCCAGUCAGCCCGUCUCAGAGCCACCGUCUGGAGGGCACUUGGUGGCCACUGGGCAGGUCUGGCCGGGAGGGCGCCGUCCGAGGCCCGAGAGGAGAGACGUUAAUGGCUGACGGGGGUGUCUCAGAGGCUGAGUGGCCCUGCCCACCGCACACUCGUGGCCGUGGGGCGCCUCCCUCCUUCCCAGGCGGUCUCGGGCCGCACUCGGCGCUGAGUUGGGGCUUCUGCCCUCGCGGCCAGGCCACCUCCCGUGGCCGCCUCCGCUGAACAAGGGCCAUGUGUUUUCCCGGCCCGUCCACACAGGGGUCCUUUGAAGCAGCGUCAAUGGGGCUCCACGUCUCCCGCAGCUGAGGGCGGGCGGCCGGGGAGGGGCAGACAUUCAGCCCAGCGCCCCCGCGGCCGGCGGCCUCUCCCCCGGCCCAGCCUGCGCCCGUGUUGCCCGCGCAGGGGAAAGAUGGCCCUGCACGGAGAGCUUUGUUCUUAACACCUACGCGCUUAUUUUCCGUGAACUAGAGAAAAUAUAGCCAGCCCCUCCCGCCCACGCUUUCCCAGCUUUAUUGCUUAGCACGAAGUGACAUCUACUGAUAUUCAAAAGGGGAGUCCUGGAAACUGCUGGAAUGUGCAUCGCAGGUGAAUGGAGAAGUAACUCGUGGCCCGUCCACACCGCGGAAGGCCACCGGCUGUGUGUCCCCGUCCUGAUCCACAGCAGCACGGGUCUGCGGGUGUGCACGGCGGGCUGGGGGCAGGUGCCCGUUCUGAAAGGAGGGAGCCGCCCGUGUGGCACAGAGCCCCCCGCCCCCGGCACCCGUCUGUCUCUGUAUCAGACUGACCGUCCCCAAGAGUGACCCCUAUCUGAGCAGACGCGGGUCCUGACCACUGCAGGACUCGCUGUUUCCUGGAUGCCCGCAGUGCUCCGGCUGGUCCGCUCUGCCUGGAACGCCCACCCCACGUCCCUGUCAAAGCCUGUCUGGUUUUAAAGGUGCAGCUGAAACGCCACGUCCUCCUUUCCCAUUGGAAUCUAAUGCCCCGGCUGCGAGGCAGGCCUUGCUCUCAAGAUGGAAAAUGCAUCCCGGCAGACCCAGCUGAAAGUCCGCGAUGGUUAAUCACCCCAAAUUCCCUCACAACUACUCCUGCCACAGUCCUGGGGUUUCUUCUGACUGGACCAAGGAGGGUCACCUGGUGAUCCCCGAACCAAUCACCGAGGCCACAGGUUUGGACAAUUCUGAUUGGCCAGGCCUCAGUCGCAUGCCCAUCUCUGGACCAAUGGCUGGAACCAGUGUAACCCAAACUGUGUGGUCAGAGGUGAGGGAGGGGUCAUCCAGAGGAAACAGCGCUAUGACCAGGAGAGGCGGCCAAAGCAACUGGUGUUCCCUGGGCCCGCUGAGCAGCUGUGGGACCUCGGGCUGGUGUCUCGGACUUUCUGAUCCUUAGAGUCCUCAGCCAUGAAAUGCGAAUGCUAUAGACCCCCUAGGGUGAGUCAUAGGUGGUCAGUGUGCCGAUGUCAGUGGGAGCGGCUCACGCUCAGUCGGUGGGCGACACGAGUCCACGGAAUCGGAGGCCGGGAAGAAGCCGGGCUGGAAUCUGAGCAGGAGAGGAUGGGGACGGCCACGUGUUUCCCAGAUGGCAGCAACUUCUGCGGUCUCCCCAGCUCUCUUUACAACGUGAAGCUGUCGCUCCUGCUGUCGGGGGGUGGGGUCCAUGUCCCCGCCUCAGCCACCACUGUGGCUGCGCUGGAAGCGACACUGUGUGACCUCUGAGGCUGUGACCGAGGGUGACACAGCUUCCCCCUGGCCCUCCUGGGACACUUUCUUGGAGCCGCCAGGCUGUGAGGCUGCAGCUGGAGGCCACGGCCACUGAGGCCCCCGCUGACCACCAGCAUCCACGUGAGCUGCAGGACGUGCGCGAGCAGACGCUGGGAGGACCGUGGCCCCAGCCCCGUGUGACUGCGACUGCAUCACAGACCCUGUGGGGGGACCCGUGCAGCCGCACGCCGCCAGGACCACGACGUGACGAUAAACCGUCGCGGUUGUUUUACGCCGCUGUUCGAGGCACCUUGUUUACCAACCACAGACCCCUGGAGAGGGGGCCGGGGGGCCGCAUGGCCUGGCCACUCGCUCAGUGCCUGAUGAUGCUGGUCUGUCUGAGAGAGAAAGGAGAGGCCGUGCCGAGUCUCCGGGCCCCCUGGGCUGCCCGCAGCCCUGUGCCCGCUGGCAGGAGCCGGCCCGCCACACCGCUGGGCACCUGCCGUGAGUCUCCCAGGACGACGUGGCAGCCGCACCGGCUGUGGGGACAGAGCUGUUUCAGGAGCUCAGGCCCGGCUGCUCUCACUGAGUGGAACUUGUCACCUUCUGAGGGGGCAGGCAGGGGCGGGGGGAUUAAAUCUUUGAAGGUGAACUUGCCAAAUGCCUGCGUGACAGGCCCCUCUUCUUUCGCUGAGCCCAGAGGAGGCCAAAUUGCAACGGCCCCCCAUUUCUCAGCCCCGUCCAGCCCUCAGCCCCCUCGCUCAGGUCCUGCGGGACCUCCAGGGUCCAUUCGGACCAGCUGCCCCGGGCAGGCCACCUCGGAGAGAAGGGAGAGGGUGCCGAUGCCAACUGUACCCGGGGGCGUCUAGGCGGGUCAGGAGCUCAUGCAGAGAACUGCAUCCUUUGAAGGUACAGGGGACCGGCCACUCAGGACCUCACCUGCCCUGUGGCCCCCGGGCCUCACCCCGCAGCUCUGCCCGUGCCCUGUGGCCGCGUGGGGACAGACCCCACCUUCUCCCUGCCUCACCUACGAUGGGCUCCAGUCUCUAAGUCAAACACUCGUUUUCUCUUUACGCAAAUAAGCUGACUUACAGAGGGCGGCUUAGAUCCCCCAUCACUGCAAAGCCGACAGCGCCUGCUGUAAACAGAAGGUGACCGUGACAAUAAACACAGGACGCAAAGGCCGUCCCACAGCCUGGCUGCAGUCCCGCUGCCUGCUGAGCUCUGAGGCCGAGGCCCUGUCUGCUGCACUGAGGAGGUCGCGGAGCCGGCGGGGGUCGGAGACUGUCUCCUUGACAUCGGCAGGAGAACGGGAGGAAAAAGGGAGGGAUUUCCUGCUGCUCAGGGUGACUUCACGCUGUGUCUGCCUCCACCGGGGCCUCCCGCCAGGCGGGAAAGAUCCUAAAAGAUGAAGAUGGUGGAUGCUCGAGCAGAGCCUGAGGCCACUUCGAGAGCUCCCCUACUCCGUCUCUCCUAAUCCUCCACAGCCCCACCACGUGCCGUCAUCACCAGCACAAGGGACCCAGAGAGGUUAAGUGACUUACAGAAGGUCACACAGCCAGUGAGUGGGGAAGCCGGGAUUUGAACCCAGACCUGCAGCUCAAGCCUAUGCUCCUAGCAGCCCAGCACGCCAGCUUUGAAGCACUGGUCUACACCUAUCGGGUCUGUGGAUAAUUGUCCGGGGUCUCUGUACUGGAGCUGAGGGGACAGCCGGCGGAGAGUCCCACGGUGGGAGCCAGCUUGGGUGCCCAAAACAGCCAGGGGACUUGGGGCUCCUGGGCCAGGGGAGGGGGCCGGAGAGGGUCAGGCGGGGGGAGAUGAGGGGUCUGGGGAAGAGACCCCAGGGGUUGUGGGGUGGGUGCAGUGGGGUGUGAGAUGACAGUGACCCCUGUGCAGGAAGCCCCCUGGGCCCAGCCGCCCCCGAGGGCUGUGCUGAGUGUGAGGAGCCCCAGGGGGAGUCCCACUCACAGCCUUGGAGAUGGAGGCGCGCGAGGAAACCGCCGCCUGGGCCCGCACCCUGCUGGGUGUCCUCAUACAUCCGUCUGUCCCUCUGUCCUUCGGAGAGCAAGCGGAGGAGACGCCCCCAGCCUCAUGGGCCCGACCCCGUGGCUCUGGGGCCCUGGGCUGGCCGAGCGGUGGCUCUCCCUCCGCCAUGGGCGCUGGAGGAAAGUCCCCGCUGACCCCCCUGUGGGUGCCCCUGACCAUCGGCCUUGACGCCCCCGGGCUCAGUCACCCCCGACAAGUGACAUUUAUUUCUUCCCUCACUCGGAGCAGCGAGAAUUAAUUAUUGAGCGCGAGGAAGCACUUUGAACAUGAAAAGUGCUGAGGGUGACGGUGACAUUACAGAGACUGAGGCUCUGAUCUCUGCUCGGCCGAGCGCCCCUCCCCGGUCCCCUGGAGGACGGAGUGGAAGACCCCGUGUGGGGAGGAUGCUCUGGCUCA